CCUACGGGCGGCAGCAGUGAGGAAUAUUGGUCAAUGGGCGCGAGCCUGAACCAGCCAAGUAGCGUGAAGGAUGACUGCCCUACGGGUUGUAAACUUCUUUUAUAAAGGAAUAAAGUGAGGCUCGUGUGCCUUUUUGUAUGUACUUUAUGAAUAAGGAUCGGCUAACUCCGUGCCAGCAGCCUCGGUAAUACGGAGGAUCCGAGCGUUAUCCGGAUUUAUUGUGCUUAAAGGGAGCGUAGAUGGGUUGUUAAGUCAGUUGUGAAAGUUUGCGGCUCAACCGUAAAAUUGCAAUUGAUACUGGCAGCCUUGAGUACAGUUGAGGUAGGCGGAAUUCGUGGUGUAGCGGUGAAAUGCUUAGAUAUCACGAAGAACUCCGAUUGCGAAGUCAGCUUACUAAACUGCCACUGACAUUGAUGCGCGAAAGUGUGGGUAUCAAACAGGAUUAGAUACCCGGGUAGUC
rnacentral:rRNA from 1 species